GACGAACGCUGGCGGCGUGCCUAAUACAUGCAAGUCGAACGAGAGCAACCGGUGCUUGCACUGGUCAAUCUAGUGGCGAACGGGUGAGUAACACGUGGGUAACCUGCCCAUCAGAGGGGGAUAACAUCCGGAAACGGAUGCUAAAACCGCAUAGGUCUUCGAACCGCAUGGUUUGAAGAGGAAAAGAGGCGCAAGCUUCUGCUGAUGGAUGGACCCGCGGUGCAUUAGCUAGUUGGUGAGGUAACGGCUCACCAAGGCCGUGAUGCAUAGCCGACCUGAGAGGGUGAUCGGCCACAUUGAGACUGAGACACGGCCCAAACUCCUACGGGAGGCAGCAGUAGGGAAUCUUCCGCAAUGGACGCAAGUCUGACGGAGCAACGCCGCGUGAGUGAAGAAGGUUUUCGGAUCGUAAAACUCUGUUGUUAGAGAAGAACAAGUGCUAGAGUAACUGUUAGCGCCUUGACGGUAUCUAACCAGAAAGCCACGGCUAACUACGUG
rnacentral:rRNA from 1 species